GGAGCUCUGAGUGUUCCCCUUGGAGGCAGAUACCGGCUCAAUUAAGGGCCCAGAGUUUGGGGAGCUGUCUUUGGUGGGGUCGUGCACUGGGCUGGAGGCACAAAGUCCCAGGUUUUGGUGGCAUGCUGCCAUCAUCAUGCCUGAGGGACUUGACCUGAGGCCCACAGCACAGCACUGACAGCCUCAGAGGGGGACCCAUGGCCGUGGGGCUGCGAUGCCGCCGACAGGCUCCUGGGGUGGCUCCGACUUGUGCUCCGUCUCCCUGAUGACCCUCGUGGACCACGGCGGUACCAGACCUGGACAGACCCGGGACACUGUGCGGGGCGGACCCUAGACUCUGCCGCUUCGGGCGGUGAUGUGUGGAUCUGCGCUGCUGCCUCCCGGCCGCUCCUGUCUCUACACCCACUACCAACUCGGCACCACACAAGGCGUUGACCCAAAACAAAGAAAGAGACUCCAGAAAUCCUCCUGUGCUCGGCAAGGUAACCCUAGGACCCUGCGCUGCCAGAGGCCGUGUGGGAAGGGUCUCCCUCUGAAGCCGACUCGGGGUAAUCCGAGGCUUGGGGAUCCCUCAUUGCCCCCAAGUAUUCCCUCUCGUCUCCCCAGCUUCGACUGUGCGGCCUGGGGUGCCUCAGAUGGGGUGGCCAUCUGAGGUGGGGUGGCUUGGACCAGCGCUCCAUCUCCCUGAUGACCCCCGUGGACCACUGCGGUCCCGGACCCGGGCGGACCCGGGACGUUGCGCGGGUGGACCUGAUCUGGCCUUGGCCGCCUCGGGCGGUGAUGUGUGGAUCUGCACUGCCGCCUCGCGGCCGCUGCUGUCUGCACACCCACAACCAACUCGGCACCGCUCAGGCAGUGGGACCAGCUUGGGGGUUGGCACCCAAUGCGUGGAGGACCCCGGAAUCCUCCUAUGCCUGGCAAGGCAGCCCCAGGACCCGGCCCUGCCAGAGGUCUGGGGUGGUAGGUUUCCUCUAGCUUGGCUCUCCAUCACCCAGGCUCCCCAUCCUGUCCUCGUCACCCCAGGACAUGGGACCCCUCAAUUCCCUAGUAUCUCCUCUUGCCUGCCUGGCUUGCGUGAAACGGGUCGUGGUCCUGGGUGCAGCUGGGACUCCACCCCCAGCAGCGCAUGGGCUCCAGGGCAGACCCAGGGCACUCCGGGAGGGAAAUGUGCCUCCACGUGCUCGUGAUGAGCCCAGAGUGCGGUGCAGGGAACCAGACCCCAGUCACAGAGCAUGCUUGCCACCUCGGGACCCCCAUCCUUUAACAAUCCCCCAGGACACGGGGCUGUCUGCAGCACCCGACACUGGUGGCUGCGCUUGGACAGACGACCAGCAGGGCCUUCCAGCAGGAUGGGAGGCAGCGGCGCGCCCACAUCUUUAGCAUCUCAAACACCUGAAUUGAAUGGAGAUGUUAAUGCAACUGCUUAGAGUCUGAGGAGCUCUGAGUGUUCCCCUUGGAGGCAGAUGCCGGUUUAAUUAAGAGCCCAGAGUUUGGGGAGCUGUCUUUGGUGGGGUCGGUGCGCUGGGCUGGAGGCACAAAGUCACAGGUUUCGGCAGCACGCUGCUGUCAUCAUGCCUGAGGGACUUGACCUGAGGCCCACAGCACAGCACUGACAGCCUCAGAGGGGGACUCAUGGCCGUGGGGCUGCCAUGUGGCUGACAGGCUCCUGGGGUGGCUCAGACAAGUGCCCCAUCUCCCUGAUGACCUUCGUGGACCACGGCGGUACCAGACCUGGGUGGACAGGGACGUUGUGACAGUGGACCCCAGACUCCGCCGCUUCAGGCAGUGAUGUGUGGAUCUGCGCUGCUGCUGGCUCACGGCCGCUGCUGCCUCUACACCCACAACCAACUCAGCACCGCUCACGGAGUGGGACCAGGUGGGGGUUGGCAGCCGAUCCAAGGAGAAGGACCCUGAUCCUCCUGUGCCUGGCAAGGCAGCCCCCAGGACCCCGGUGCUGCUGGAGGCCCUGUGGGAAGGGUCUCCCUCUAGACUUAGGCACCUGUCCCUGACUCUGUCCCCUGUGCUCCCAGUCUUGUGCACCCCAGGGCACGGGGACCCCUCAUGCCUCCAAGUGUCUGCUGUCACCUUCCCUUUGGUCCAGGUGACACAAGAGCCAGGUCAGUGGUGCCAUCCCCGUGGCUGGACUCCCAGCAGCAUGUGGGGUCCAGCGCGGACCUACGGUGCUCCCGUUGGUAAUCGUUGUCUGUGCACUCGUUGGCCAGCCCCGCAGAGGCCGUCAAGUCAGGAUAUAGAUCGGCACUCCCCAGGGUUGAUGGGCACCUCUUUUAUUCACUGAUCCACCUGGGGUGGAUUGGGAGGUAUUUGCCAAGGGCUGGGACCUCAGGCUAUUUGCAUCCUAAUGGGUCAUUUGCAUCUCUAUAGAACAGAAGCUGAUGCCCUGCAGGUACAGGAGUGGCAAUCUGGCUAGUCCUGCAGACUUCUCUGAAGACUGGGGUAUGCCCCUUGGAGCUCGGACUGGGGGGAGUCAGGGGCUCCAUUUAGGCUCAGGAAGCAAUAAGGCCGCGAUCACAGGAGCUGCCCUAGACUGCAGGAGCACCAAGGACGCACCACCCUGGGAGGAAACAUGUGGAAGGCCCAGCCCUGGGCAGGGGAGAAGUUGAUGGUCAGAGCUCAAGGAGCAUCCCUGAGUCAGGAUGGGCAGCAGAGGCAGAAGCACAGCGGAGGAGAGCCAGGCACGGCAUAGUGAGGAGAGAAACGGAGGGUGCAAGACAGGGCAAUGAACUAGUGUCACAUGCCAUGGGACAUUCAAGAGUGCAGCUGGCACAGGCCCCGUGGGGCCACAGAGAGUGGGGUACCCUGGGUGGUGGGGGCACCGAUUGGCUGCCGUCACCCAAUUGUGCCCUCUGCCCACACGCGGCCACUCCCAGCACUUGUGUCCCUGACUCCCAGCCCAGCAAAACCUUGACACUCAAAGCAAAGCACUGUCUAGUGCCCAGCAUCCUGGCUGGCAGCUCCGUGCGCCCACGGCUCCACCAGCCCCAAGUCCAGCCGCUCCCCCAGCCUUUCUUCCCUCAGCAUUCCUCUCUUAGAAAUGGCUCUCCUGGCCUCGUCACCCUGAUGCCCGCUCUCCCUCACCCUCCAAAUCCAGUCAGUAACAAGAUAAUCACUUCUACCUCCUAGAGCUGGGCCAUCUCUCCACCCUCUUCCUCCAUCCUGCCAGCCCCAGGGCCAUAUCCAUCAGCAGGACUCAGUGACAGCCUCCUCCCAGGUACCAGACUCCCUGCUGAAUACCAGCCUCCCACCCGGGUACUAGCCUCCCCCCUGGGUACCAGCUUCCCACCAGAGGACCACCCUCCCCUCAGGUACCAAAUUCCACCUGGGUACCAGCCUCCCACCUGGGUCCCAGUCUCUCACCAGGGUACCAGCCUCCCACCCAGGGACUAGCCUCCCCCCAGGUACCAACCUCCACCUGGGUACCAACCUCCCCCCGGGUACUGACCUCCCAAAUAUAUAUAAAUAAAAAUAUGUUCCUUCAUGCCCUUCUUACUGUGGUUGGCCAAGGCUUGCAGGAUCUGCCCUCGGCUACUCUGGCCUCCCUCACCUCUGGACCUUGACCGUGCCCUGUACCCCAGAUGUAUCCAGCUUCCUCCCAUCAGAUCCCAGGUCUCCCUGGGGAGACCCGGCCAGCUUCCUCAGCACCCAGACAGCCCCUGUGCUGCACUAGUAUUCACACUUGCCACUGUGUGGCCGUGCCGUGCCAGCCUGAGCAUCUUCCUCCUGGGAACCUAAGGGUCAACACACCCAAGUGCCUGGAACAUAGUCAGGAAGGAGCUGGCAAUGCAGCAGCGAGAAGCCGAGCUACCCAGCCAAGGGCACACACGUCUCUGGGCCCAGCCCCCGGGGCUCCCCAGGAAGCCGCGACACUUCUCCAGCACUGGGUCCAAUCCCGUCCCCUCCAGCUGACCGCUCUUCGUCAUCGGUGCCUGGAGCUGCUGCCUCACCCCAUACCCGGCCGGCAUGCACUGUCACCCACACUGUCCAUGUGGGCACCGGGCCACUUGUGUCCAGGCACAACUUUGGGGGCCAUUCUAAGGACUCCUUGACCCCCGGCUCCUGCCUCCAGCCGCUCCUGCUUAGAAAGCUUCUCUCCUCUUUCUCAGCUGCCACCUGGACAGGCCUUGGCCCCCGCUGCCCAUUAGAUCCACAGAAGCCCCUCCUCUGCAUACUUGCUGUAAACCGAACCCACCUCCCUCUCGUGGUGCUGCCAUAGCACGCGCACCUCACACCUGAAAUGUCGCGGGCUUUCUUUAAGCAAACCCAACUUUCUUGUCUGACACUCAACAACACGGUGCCCGGGGUCCGUCAGAUCACCCUCUGCCUUCCCUGAUGGAGCAGCAGGCGCCCCAGAGCCGCAGCCCUCCUGGAACAUCCGAAGGGCACGGGUGCGAGCAACUUGCAGCCGCAUCCGUCAGACGUGCAGCCGUCGCGACAGGGACGCCCCCAGCAGGCCUUCAACAGGCCCAGUCGACUUUUCUCCGCUGUAAAGUCUAAGGAAUGCUGUCUGUCCCCAGGCCGUGGCCUGGCAGCUGCUGGCAGCUCCAGGCUUAUAACUCUCCAGUGGAGCAACUGUAGCUGGUGGUGGCCCCCUAAAAGAUGUAUCCACAACCUAAUCCCCCAAACCUGUGGAUGUGACAUUACUGGGAGAAGCGUCUUCACAGCCAUAAUUCAAUAAUGGGUCUCGAGACAAGAGGAUCCUGGAUUACCCGGGUGGGCCCUAAAUCCAGUGACCAGUGUCCUUAUAAGAGAAAAGCCAAGAAGAGACACAGGGAGAGUAUGCCAGUGACAACAGAGGCAGAGACUGGAGUGAUGCCCCCACAAGCCCAGGAGCACCCAGAAGCUGGAAGAGGCAGGAAAGAUUCUACCCUAGAGCCUUUGGAGGGAGCGCAGCCCUGCAACACCCUGAUUUCAGACUUCUGGCCUCCAGAAUGGGGAGGAGAUCAGGACACACACAGAGGGAUGACCCUGUGAGGACAGAGGGAGGAGAUGGCCGUCUACACGCCAAGGAGAGAGGCCUCAGGAGGAACCAGUUCGGCCCACACCUGGAUCUCGGAUGUCCAGCCUCCAGGACAGGGAGGAUCUGGAUGGUGGGAGGGAAGCAGCAGUCAUGUUGCAUUCACAAGGAGGACGCAGGCAGGUCCAGCUCGUGCAAGUUGUCACCUGCUGCUCAGCGUGCUGGCACCCGGGCCCCCUUGGUCCUGCCAGGCCUCCUCCUCCAGCUCCCCGAGUCCUGGGCCAGGUGUGGGCAGAGUUCCCUGGUGCGGGCACCAGCUUCUCCUGGGUGUGCCUGAAUCCUCGGCUCUGAGGUAUGUAUUUGCUUCCCGUGGCUGCUCUGAGAAGUUAUCACGACAGUGGGCCAAACCAACAGAAAUCAAUUCUCUUAGAGUUGUGGAGGCCAGUAGUCUGAAAUCGAGGUGUCGGCAAGGCCACGCUCCCUCCAGAGGCUCUAGGGGAGGAUCCUUCCUGCCUCUUCUGGCUCCUGGGGGCUCCCUGCAUUCCUGGGCUCGUGGCCACAUCACUCCUGUCUCUGCCUCUGUCUUUACGAGGCUGCUCCUCUGUGUGUCUGUGUCUCUGUGUCCAAAUGUCCCGCUUCUCAUAAGGACACAGUCAUUGGACUUAGGGUCACCCUACUCCAGUGUGACUUCGUCUUUAUUUAUUACAUCUGCAAAGACCCUUUUUCCAAAUAAAGUCACACUCACAGGUCCUGAGUGGACAUGAAUUUGGGGGCACGCUCUUUAACCCAGACAAGGCGGCAAGAGACAGACUUAGGCUCCAGAUUGUCCGCUUGGGUCCCGGUGUGUCCUCACGGCGUCCAGGUAGCCCUUGACCUCUCCUCUUCCUGUCUGUCUUCUUUCCUGAGCGCCUGCCCCGCUGACCUCAGUCCCCACCCAGACCAGAGGCAGCAGCUCUCGUGGACAGCCCCCCAGCUCCAUUGCUGCCGAAGGCCUAACCCCUCAAAAAUUCCCUUGUUCUCUGUCGAUCGGUGGUUCUGCUUCUCUGAUCAGAUCCUCACUUUAUCUCACGGUUCACAAAAUGGAAAUGAGACAAGAUACUCAAUCCCAAGAGGAAGCGGAGUCAAGACCACCUUGCGCGUUGCUGGACUGAUGGUUUUUCUCACGACUCUUUCCUACGUCCAUUUCCCUGACUUUGGUGCGCAGCCCCGGACCGCAAACUAAUGGCCUGAGUCCUCCUGUCUCUACGAUGGUGCGGUCCACCGGUUACAGAGACGGCUGCAACACACCCUUCCUGCUCCCUGCGCCAUCGCAGCAUGACUUUGCGGCUCAUCACAUCAGGAGGUGGAGCCUGUCCCCUCCCCUUGAAUCUGGGGUGUUUUGACCAAUGAAAUGCACUGGAAGUGUUGCCACAUGACUUUGAAGGAUGAGCUUUAAGCAGCCUCACAGUUUCGGUCUCCACGAGGAGCCAGCCACGGGGCAAGAAUCGCACCAUCAUGAGACCUUCAUGCCGUGCGGGAGCCCAAGCGGGCUGCGUGGAGGGAGAGGCCCAGAGGGAGCACCAAGGCACUGGAGGCAGGGUCAAGCCUUCCUGGACCGUCCAGCCGAGCCCAGCUGCCAGGAGAACGCAUCCAAGUGACCGAGUCCAGUCAGGCACGCACGGACAGAGACAUCCUCCAGCCAAGUGCCACCCUAGUUCUGCAGAAGCGCGAGCUGUCUGAAUGGUCCUUGUUUUCAGCUCACAGUUUUGGGGAGGUUCAGCACGCAGUGAUGGAUAGCUGAUGUGUCCAGGCUCCGCAGGGCCAUCCCUGCUUCCGUUCCUCCCAGCCACAUCCUCCUCCUUCUCCAGGAUGUCUCCCUUGGAUUGCACCAGGUUAAUAUCCGGUGUUAACCAAACAUGCUGACUGGGAUCCAAAAGCAAAGACACUGGGGGCCGGGCCUCAGGAUCCGGUGGAGACAAAAGAGGGAUAGUCUUACAAAACUCCUGGGGAAAUCUGAGUGUGUGGCGCCUCACUGGUCAGUCACGAGAAUGAGGGGGUCCUGGGAGAUCGGCUCACUUCACCCCCUCCAGUUGCAUUAGCAGGAACUGAGAUGGGAGAGGAGAUCCACCCCCAUAAAAUUAAAGGUGACCCUGGGACAGGCUCCCUGGUGCAAUGAAGAGGUGGGGCCACAGGCGCAGUCCCCUGGAGCAGUCGAUUAAGUCAUGGUGGGCCUCCAAGCAUAGCCACUGGCGGACCGUGCUCCCAGGAGGAUUCCAGCCCUGUCUUUGGGCUCUGCUCUCCUGAGACUCAGAAAGGAGAAACCAACCACCCUCCGAGGAUUGCUCAAACCUUACUGGAAGCCAUGGGUGGCGCAGAGGGAAGAAGUCUGAGCUUUGCUGGGCAGCCAGUGGGAGAUGGAGAUGGGGCCCUGGUGCCGCCUGUGUGACGGCUCCUCCGGCCUGAGUUCCCGGCGUGGUCUGCUGCCCUGGGCAGCUCCCACCUGCUCACCACCUGGGGGUUCAGAGUUGGGAAGGGGCAGGUCAGCAGCUGAAGCACAGCCCACGUGGGCAGCACCAGCUGCUCCCUGAGGGCCAGCAGACACAUGGUUCUGUCCACCUGUGCCCCUGAUGGCUGGGUGCUGGGGUUCGAGGGAUCCAAGGGCAUCUGAGGGCCUCAGCCUUUCUCCCGAGGAUCCGGAGGUUUCGUGAGGUCCAUGUUUGCUGUCACUCCCUUUGAGGACACCCACACACCAUGUGUCCACCUUACUGUCACCGCACUAGGCAACUAGCUCCUAGCCUCUCAUCUCCACCCUGCGACCCCUCUGCCCAGCCUCUGCUGACCCCUGACUCGCCCUUUGCUUCCUGGCCCUCAGCCCUUCCCCCAUCCCUUCCUGCAGGCCUCAUCCCCUGCUCAUCCCGCUCGGCCUCCCUAUGCUGAGCGGGCGUCCCUAUGCUGCGGCCUCAAUCACUACUUCUGGCCCGAGAACAGUCGACAUCUGCCGUGAGCCCUGGAUUCUUGCUCAGGGACCAAGCGCAGGUCCUCAUUGGUUUGUGGGGUGUCUGUUGGGGUGGCCCACAGUGGCCACUUCCUGCCUGCAAGCUGGGAACCAGGAUCUCUGGGCUCUUGCCUCUCCCAGCCCCAAUUUCUGACCUUUUCUUCAAGACGUUUCUCUCUUGUUCUCAGAGACCCCGCAGGGGGCACCCCCUCCUCCUCCUGCACCCUGGAGCCUCCAUGUCCCCCAACCUCCUUGCCCCUGGUUUUCCCCAAGUGGCCCCCUGGCUGCCCUCCUUCAGGCUCAUUCUGACUCCAGCAAGAUAAUCCGCAGACAGCUCAGUCUCGUCCGCAGGACUCCUGCGGGCUGCCCCACCUGCUCACCACCCCCCAGUACCCGCAGCCCACCAGGCCGCCCCCCAAGACAAGCCAUCCUCGGGGCCUCUUCCCCUACCCUUGCAGACUGACCCCCACCUGGCUCGUCCAGGCAGCCUUCUUCUCCUUGACCCCCGUCCUUCAGCCACAGAGACCACCGCAUCUUGAAUCUCAGCGAGUGACCACAGACACUAGUGGGCCAGACCAAGGAAGGAUGGGGAACUCCCCACACAGCAGUUUCAUGCAGGAGAGGUGGCAAGCUUCUCCCCUUUCUCACCAGAUCCCUAAAGGGGCGAUCAGAAGAGUGGGCAGAUGGAGGGAAAGCUUCGACUUCAGCCUGGGCUAACACUUCUGUGGGGACAGGUGCCAGGAUUCAUGGGGUGUACUGAGAGAGGUCGCAGUAAGAGUGGAGAGCCAUGAAUGCCAGGGCCGAGGCAGCACAGAGCCCUCAGACGUAGCCACCUUGCUCUCUACUUGGUGAGGAAGGGGUCCUUGACUAAGUGAGAUCUUUAGCCCCUGGCCACAGGUCUCAUCUUUGCAGAGAUGUUUGUUGAAUGAAUGAACGAAUGAACAAAUGAGUGGAUGGGCUGAUGCUUAAAGAAAGGAAAAGAAUGUGGCGUGAUCUUUUCAAGGUACAGACGAUGCUGGUUCAGAGUCCAAGAGGGAAUAAGGGCCUUCCUGCUCCCACCACGGCGAUUGUUCCUGGCCCCUUCUAGAAUCAUCUGGAAGUUAAUCCCUUAGAAAACAAAUAUUUCAGACAUCUCAACACAAGCCCUCCAAGUGGGGGCCUAAGCAGAUGGGCCAGAGGCCUGGACACUCUCCCACACCCCUAGAUGCGUAAGCCCACCAAAGCCUCACAGCAGCGUCCGUGGGGGACGCAGACCUCGGCCAGGAAAGUGUCAGAGCCGCCGGCCACCUGCCUGGGCCCCCGCUCCUGGGCCUUGUCCAUUCUCCUUGGCAGCUCCCACCGUGGACAGGACAUUCCUGAAGGCUGAGGCUAUACGUCGGGGGUUUGGAGCUGGAAAGGCCGAGAAGGUCCACAGUCAGCUCAUGGCCGAGCGUCACUCCAGCCUCUCCUUCCCUGUCCUCCUUGUGCCUUGGGGCUGACCCAGGAGAUGGGGAACUCGUCCUGUUUCCCUUCCCGAAAUCCAUGCCAGGGCCUGCCCGCUCUGCUCUUCCCCUGCCGAGGUCCCUCUCUGCCCAAUGCCCACUACUCUCAGAGCCCGAUUUGAGCAGGCCACCGCAGGCUGUCUUUGGAACCCCAGGCCCCCUCAAAGUGGCCUCCUGCGGUGGGGGCUGCCUCCUUCCUCCCCUCCUCCUCUUCCUCGGUCCUCAAUAUGACCUGUGCUUGACACAUAACUGCCCCCAUUUGAAUGCUUUCUCCCACCCAGACCGCGAGCUCCCUGAGGGCAGACUCAGCCAAAGAGGUUCCCGGUCAGGGGAGCCGGGCCCCAUCUGGGAACGCACAGCCCGCAGGAGCCCCACGGUCGGGGGCCGAGUGCAUUCACAAGCCCUGAGUGGGAUCUGCCCAACUUGCAAAGACCAGGGAACUGCCUCGUGGGGCCAGGAGAAGGGCUGGUCAGAGAGCAGAGGGACGAGCAGCUGCCUCCAGGGCCAGUGAGGACCAGUCUUGGGGACUCAUCUUCCAGCCCCUGUGCAGGGUACAUGUGGCCACAAGACAGAGUUGCCCAGGAAACGUGAGCAGAAGUGAUUGUUCUACUUCCGAUCUGGCCCAUAAAAAUCUCCAGGACCCUCCACUCUCUCUACCCCCAGGGUAGAGGGAAAGAUUUCCAGCAGCCUCAGGAGCGCAGAGCCACAAGAUGGCAGGAUCCUGGGUCCUGCAGACGCCUGGAGCAGAGCCCCCACCCUCGCUGGGCGAUGCCAGCAGCAGAAAUGCACGUGUAUCAGCAGUGAACUUGGUAUGGUCACGACUGGAUUGCAUGGAGGCGAGAGGACCAUGGUUUGGAGGUCACCAGCCUCUGUCCCUUUGCUGGUCUAGGGUGUAGCAAGCCCACCUCAGACCUUGACCAGCCAGGAGCCUCUGCCCCGUGCCACGGAGAGUUAGGGCAGCCAGGAGGAGGGGCCGAGGAGGAAGGUGUGCAGGUGAGCCUCCUGAGGGGGAGGGGGCUGGUGGCAUCGGAGUCGGCAGUCUCUGUCUUAAGGAACAUGCAGGCCUGUCCUUUAUCUCACCUCUCACACCACAUAUUUCCAGAAAGAAAUCAUUUCCAGUUCCAAAGUGCUCCAUGGAGGCGGAUUUUUCCAUCUGGGCUUUGUUGAUGAGCUAUUUUGGAGGAAACUUCUGCGUUAACUCACUUCCCUCAUCCGAGCUCAUGCGGGGACAAUUAGGGGAGGCAGAAAGACAGCGAGGCAAGGAGCUGGCUGUGGGGGAGAGGCUCGGCCUGGCCACACACUCUGUCCUGCCCCGACCCCAGGCUGGUCUCCACCUGCCAGGGUGCUGGCAUGACUGUGAGUCUGGGGUCUGGGUUCCCCUGGAUCCGAGGAGAUGGGGGCUGUCUCUGCACGUGCAGCCCGGCUCCGCAGCCCCCCAGGCCCCUCCCCAGGGCCCUCUCUCACAUCCGGCUCUGACUAAGCCGGUUCCCACACUUCGCCUCCAACCCCCACGGCCCCCAGCUCCAUCGAUCACCCUGAAUGGGGAAAUGCUCAUGACUCUCAUCCCACCCAGACCCCUGGGCCCACUACCUCAUCCCUGGCCCUCACUCUUGGGGUGAUGGCCCCAACUCGAGCCCCUGGGGGAGACGGAGCCCACACCCACUGCCCCCCUCUCCUCACAGCCUGCACACCUGAGCUUGGGGCGUGUUCCCCAGCCAGUGGGACAAGUGACCACCCCAGCCCUGUGGCCGAGAGCUCUUACCUCUUCUCUCUUUGCCGUACUUCCAAGCCCUGCACUUCCCAAAACUCUGUAAACGUGCCCCUGUCUCCCCUUCCUGUGUCCCUGUGGUAGCCUCUCCCAUCUUUUGUGGUGACACUUCUUGGAAUGGUGACUGUGACCGGGCUGAAUUGUGUCUCCCAAAAUUCGUGUGUUGGCGUCCUGACUCCCAGCACCUCAGAAUGUGAUCUCAUUUGGA